CAAUAGCGUAUAUUAAAGUUGUUGCGGUUAAAAAGCUCGUAGUUGGAUUUCUGCCGAGGACGACCGGUCCGCCCUCUGGGUGUGUAUCUGGUUUGGCCUGGGCAUCUUCUUGGAGAACGUUGCUGCACUUGACUGUGUGGUGCGGUAUCCAGGACUUUUACUUUGAGGAAAUUAGAGUGUUCAAAGCAGGCAUCGCCGUUGAAUACAUUAGCAUGGAAUAAUAAGAUAGGACCUUGGUACUAUUUUGUUGGUUUGCGCACCGAGGUAAUGAUUAAUAGGGACAGUUGUGGGUAUUCGUAUUCCAUUGUCAGAGGUGAAAUUCUUGGAUUUCUGGAAGACGAACUAAUGCGAAAGCAUUUACCAAGGAUGUUUUCAUUAA
rnacentral:rRNA from 1 species